rnacentral:rRNA from 1 species
GACGAACGCUGGCGGCGUGCCUAAUACAUGCAAGUCGAACGCAGUGGGGACGGUUGAGUAACACGUGUGUAACCUGCCCAUCAGAGGGGAUAAGACUUGGAAACAGGUGCUAAACCGAUAGCGAUGGAUGAAACCGCGGUGCAUUAGCUAGUUGGUGAGGUACCGGCUCACCAAGGCCACGAUGCAUAGCCGACCUGAGAGGGUGAGCGGCCACACUGGGACUGAGACACGGCCCAGACUCCUACGGGAGGCAGCAGUAGGGAAUCUUCGGCAAUGGACGAAAGUCUGAUCGAGCAACGCCGCGUGUGUGAAGAAGGUUUUCGGAUCGUAAAACACUGUUGUUAGAGAAGCGUUAUCUAACGAGAAAGCCACGGCUAACUACGUGCCAGCCGCCGCGGUAAUUC